UACGAAGGGGGCUAGCGUUGCUCGGAAUCACUGGGCGUAAAGCGCACGUAGGCGGCUUUUUAAGUCAGGGGUGAAAUCCUGGAGCUCAACUCCAGAACUGCCUUUGAUACUGAGAAGCUUGAGUCCGGGAGAGGUGAGUGGAACUGCGAGUGUAGAGGUGAAAUCGUAGAUAUUCGCAAGAACACCAGUGGCGAAGGCGGCUCACUGGCCCGGUACUGACGCUGAGGUGCGAAAGCGUGGGGAGCAACAGG
rnacentral:rRNA from 1 species